ACACAUGCAGUCGAGCGGUAGCACAGAGGAGCUUGCUCCUUGGGUGACGAGCGGCGGACGGGUGAGUAAUGUCUGGGAAACUGCCUGAUGGAGGGGGAUAACUACUGGAAACGGUAGCUAAUACCGCAUAACCUCGCAAGAGCAAAGAGGGGGACCUUCGGGCCUCUCGCCAUCAGAUGUGCCCAGAUGGGAUUAGCUAGUAGGUGAGGUAAUGGCUCACCUAGGCGACGAUCCCUAGCUGGUCUGAGAGGAUGACCAGGCACACUGGAACUGAGACACGGUCCAGACUCCUACGGGAGGCAGCAGUGGGGAAUAUUGCACAAUGGGCGCAAGCCUGAUGCAGCCAUGCCGCGUGGGUGAAGAAGGCCUUCGGGUUGUAAAGCACUUUCAGCGAGGAGGAAGGCGGUAAGGUUAAUAACCUUAUCGAUUGACGUUACUCGCAGAAGAAGCACCGGCUAACUCCGUGCCAGCAGCCGCGGUAAUACGGAGGGUGCAAGCGUUAAUCGGAAUGACUGGGCGUAAAGCGCACGCAGGCGGUCUGUUAAGUUGGAUGUGAAAUCCCCGGGCUUAACCUGGGAACUGCAUUCAAAACUGACAGGCUAGAGUCUUGUAGAGGGGGGUAGAAUUCCAGGUGUAGCGGUGAAAUGCGUAGAGAUCUGGAGGAAUACCGGUGGCGAAGGCGGCCCCCUGGACAAAGACUGACGCUCAGGUGCGAAAGCGUGGGGAGCAAACAGGAUUAGAUACCCUGGUAGUCCACGCUGUAAACGAUGUCGAUUUGGAGGUUGUGCCCUUGAGGCGUGGCUUCCGGAGCUAACGCGUUAAAUCGACCGCCUGGGGAGUACGGCCGCAAGGUUAAAACUCAAAUGAAUUGACGGGGGCCCGCACAAGCGGUGGAGCAUGUGGUUUAAUUCGAUGCAACGCGAAGAACCCUUACCUACUCUUGACAUCCACAGAAUUUGGUAGAGAUACCUUUAGUGCCUUCGGGACCUGUGAGACAGGUGCUGCAUGCCUGUCGUCAGUUCGUGUUGUGAAAUGUUGGGUUAAGUCCCGCAACGAGCGCAACCCUUAUCCUUUGUUGCCAGCGAUUCGGUCGGCAACUCAAAGGAGACUGCCGGUGAUAAUCCGGAGGAAGGUGGGGACGACGUCAAGUCAUCAUGGCCCUUACGAGUAGGGCUACACACGUGCUACAAUGGCGUAUACAAAGAGAAGCGACCUCGCGAGAGCAAGCGGACCUCAUAAAGUACGUCGUAGUCCGGAUUGGAGUUCCCAACUCGACUCCAUGAAGUCGGAAUCGGUAGUAAUCGUAGAUCACAAUGGUACGGUGAAUACGUUCCCGGGCCUUGUACACACCGCCCGUCACACCAUGGGAGUGGGUUCCAAAAGAAGUAGGUAGCUUAACCUUCGGGAGGGCGCUACCA
rnacentral:rRNA from 1 species